rnacentral:lncRNA from 1 species
CUCUCUAUGGUAAUAAUUUUAUUUUUUCCCCUCGAUUCGUCCAGUCACCUUUCAAGAUACAUUUUGACUUGUUUAUUUCCGUAAGGUUAAUAUGAGAGAAAAAAAAAAUUCUUACCCUUCUAUGGUAAGGAAGAGAGGGGGUGAGUGAACGAGGGAGAAAAUUCGUGGAAACAUUUAUAAUAUUUAUCUUGGUGAAUUACGAGCGGCAGGUUCGGAGAACGGAAGUCUAUCCUUACAGGAUGUCCAAAUUUAGUGACUCGUUUACGUUGGAACGCGUACUAUGCCCCGAGUAAUCGAGAUUUGUUUUCGCUCGCGAUACAGCUGCGAAAACAAUUUUCCUUCGCCGUAAAAUAUUCACCGUUCACCUUCUACUCGGUCUAGGCCGAGUAUACUUUUUAUUUUUGUAAUCCAAGAAAAUUGUCGAACACGGAGAAAUUUCGCUUAAUCGAAAGGUAUAAUAAAAAUGGAAAAUUUAUAUGCACGUUCGUUUAAUUGGCCAUAAAGAUAGCAAUAGUAGAUGGAUCGUUUACUUUUGGAAUUUCCUGUAUAUACAUACGUAACACCUUGCGCUGUAGGUUAAUAAAAAUUAACGUUUAACUCACGAAAAUAUUAAAUGUAGAAAAUUAAAUAUAUUUAAAUUCUAGAAACUUUCUUAUUAAACGGAUUAUUUCCGUAAGUAUCGAUCGAUUAUAUUACACCGCCACAAAAUUGAAAUACAAUCUUCCAAAGUUCUAGUUAAUGAAGUAAAGCACGUACAGACCUGGAACGUUGAUUCUUCGAUACAAUCUCUUAACAUUUCUCCGGCAAUUGACGUGUCAAAUAAGGCUAACAACCCUUUCGAAAUCGAUCGUAGGUUUAAACCGCUUAAACACGUUUGAAGUUCGCUCUAAUCGCGCGAUCGAUAUGCGACAUGCUCCUAUGUUAACUCGGUUGCCAUUAGCGAGUCUCGUAUUUCAAUGAAUUCACGCCGAGGAAUCGAAAGGUGACGUUAAAUGCGCCGUUAAAUAUCGUACUUUUACUCAUUAUCCUUCCCAUUUCUUUUAACAUAUAUACUUUUAUAUACAUAUACGCAUAAGAUUCACAAUUUAUUUUGAUCGUUUUAUCGUAUAUAUAUAUACAUAUAUUUAUUGGCAUCGAUGUUUUCUUCUUGACCGACAUCACUUUCCUUACAAUUUUGAUUAGCGAUUAGAAUUCCUAUGAAAUUCGUAUGAAAGAUAUCUAAUUAAUAUAUUUUGACAAUAUAUCUAAUCAAUAUUUUGAAAAUUUUUGAAAGUAAAUUAAAAAUCAUAAAUUCUUCUCCAUACGAAUUUCAUAAGAAUUCUAAUCGCUCUCUCUAGAGUUGAAAAGGAAGUGACGUCGGUCAAGAAGAAAAUAUCGAUGCCAACCGCGGAGAGGUUUGAUAAAUAGGAGUCGAAUCGAAGGCAGCGGAUCGCGCAUUCCAAGAUGGCAUUGUCCUCCCCGUGCACGAAGAAAUGCAUAACGAUGAGCUGCGCGAAGGCUCGCGCGAGAUUUCCAUAUGGCAUACAAAGUCGCUAACGGGAUCUAAUACCGUCGAAAAACAAAGGAUGGAAAAAGAGAGAGAGAGGUACGUGUAGUGGGAUACGCGUACACGUGUGUUCCUUUGGUUAUUAACGUUCCAACAACGGUUCGCCAUAUGCGUGCUCAUGAGAACCGAGGGGAGCUUGCUCGAAUGGCAAAAAGUUAUUUUCAGCGCGGAACAGCGGGCUUCUUACGAACUAAACGGCUGAGACUGAUUUCGGCGGACGGCGAUCUUUCUCUCUUUUGGAUAUAAGCUGGACGUGAUGUACCGUUCCUAUACGUCUUGCCUAAUGCAGUCAUCGUUAUAUACGGUGAUCGCAUGCAAUUUUUCAUCGGGCUCGUGCCAGGUAUGUUUAACAAGCGUGGUUGGGAGCGAAGCUUCUUCCGUGAUGCGAGUUAAUUUUUAUCGAAGAUGAAGAGGCUUGUGUUGAAAUCGAUCCCAUCGAGCCCCGUGGUCACCCCUUGCGAAAGGACCCCCCUCCCCCCUCGUCUUGCCUUGACCCCCUUUCUCAAGUAACAACACCCACUCCCUUAUUUUUACACGUGGAAUUUUUAAACUUUUCCUCUCAUUUAAAUUGGUAAUUCUUGGGAUCCUACCGAUCCUUAUUAUCCAAUUUAGCAUUUUUAUUUUUCCUGUGAAACAGGGCCGGAGAUCCGACCCUCGGAUGGAAAGAUUUGUGUUCAGGCGAGAAAGUUUUACACGCGAAAAGUUUUAUUACGCACAAUUGGAAGGGAAUAUUCUCUCGACGGAUAAAUAAAUUAUAUUUAAUUAUAAUUGUGGAAAUAAAAAAAUUUAUCUGAAUAUUA